rnacentral:rRNA from 1 species
AUUGAGCGCUGGCGGCAGGCCUAACACAUGCAAGUCGGACGGUAGCACAGAGGAGCUUGCUCCUCGGGUGACGAGUGGCGGACGGGUGAGUAAUGUCUGGGGAUCUGCCCGAUAGAGGGGGAUAACCACUGGAAACGGUGGCUAAUACCGCAUAACGUCGCAAGACCAAAGAGGGGGACCUUCGGGCCUCUCACUAUCGGAUGAACCCAGAUGGGAUUAGCUAGUAGGCGGGGUAACGGCCCACCUAGGCGACGAUCCCUAGCUGGUCUGAGAGGAUGACCAGCCACACUGGGACUGAGACACGGUCCAGACUCCUACGGGAGGCAGCAGUGGAGAAUAUUGCACAAUGGGCGCAAGCCUGAUGCAGCCAUGCCGCGUGUAUGAAGAAGGCCUUCGGGUUGUAAAGUACUUUCAGCGGGGAGGAAGGCGAUGUGGUUAAUAACCGCGUCGAUUGACGUUACCCGCAGAAGAAGCACCGGCUAACUCCGUGCCAGCCGCCGCAGUAA